rnacentral:tRNA from 4 species
GCGCGGGUGGCGAAAUUGGUAGACGCACCAGGUUUAGGUCCUGACGCCCGUUAAGGGUGUGGGGGUUCGAGUCCCCCCCCGCGCACCA